ACUCGAAACUCAAAGGACUUGACGGUGCCCCAAACCAACCUAGAGGAGCCUGUCCUAUAAUCGAUAAUCCACGCUUCACCUUACCCCCCCUUGUAAACCAGUCUGUAUACCGCCGUCUUCCAGUUCGUCUUAUGACAGACCCAGAACAAACACAACAGCCCACCACUAAAACGUCAGGUCAAGGUGCAGCCAAUGGGGGGGCAGAGAUGGGCUACAUUUUCUGCCACAACAGAACACCACAAACCGCCACAUGAAAUAUAGGCCACAAGGCGGAUUUAGUAGUAAGCCAAACA
rnacentral:rRNA from 1 species